CCUACGGUGUGCAGCAGUGGGGAAUAUUGGGCAAUGGGCGCAAGCCUGACCCAGCAACGCCGCGUGAAGGAAGAAGGCCUUCGGGUUGUAAACUUCUUUUGUCGGGGAAGAGUAGACGAAGGUAAAUGCCGAAUAAGCCACGGCUAACUCCGUGCAAGCGGCCGCGGUAAUACGGAGGUUGCAGGCGUUGUCCGGAUUUCCUGGGGGUAAAGGGGGUGUAGCCGGGUUGAUAAGUCAGAUGUGAAAUCCUGCGGCUUAACCGCAGAACUGCCGGUGAAACUGGUGAGCUUGAGUACUGGAGAGGCAGACGGAAUUCCUAGUGUAGCGGUGAAAUGCGUAGAGAUUAGGAGGAACACCAGUGGCGAAGGCGGUCGGCUGGACAGCAACUGACGGUGAGGCGCGAAAGCGUGGGGAGCAAACAGGAUUAGAUACCCCUGUAGUC
rnacentral:rRNA from 1 species